AGUGUUUUAUCCUCCACUUAAAUCGAAGGAU
rfam:Streptocarpus flower break virus, complete genome